rnacentral:rRNA from 1 species
UACGUAGGUGGCGAGCGUUGUCCGGAUUUACUGGGCGUAAAGGGAGCGUAGGCGGACUUUUUAAGUGAGAUGUGAAAUACCCAGGCUCAACCUGGGGGCUGCAUUUCAAACUGGAAGUCUAGAGUGCAGGAGAGGAGAGUGGAAUUCCUAGUGUAGCGGUGAAAUGCGUAGAGAUUAGGAAGAACACCAGUGGCGAAGGCGACUCUCUGGACUGUAACUGACGCUGAGGCUCGAAAGCGUGGGGAGCAAACAGG